GCGGUCACCUGGAAUUUUAGUAAAAGCACAUACAUAAAUGGGACCGGUCAUGGAUUGUGGAGGACAGAGAAAGGAUGGUUCAGAAGGCUUCACGAAGGAAGUGGGUCUCAAGAAAGGAGGGACCCAUAGAGAUUACAGAAGAUCGGAUGGACCACAGGCUGGGUUUGGCAAGCAUGCUCUCAUCUGCUAAGUUUGGCUCUAAAGGAAACACCUGCAGCUGAGAUAAAACCGUCCUUCAUGACCAGAAGAGGCGUCCAGAUGUGCUUGCAGACAGCUGGGGUGUUUCUGUGUCUUCUGCCUUCUGAGGCCUCUCUUAAGAGCUCCCCAUACCAGGCCCCUCUGCCACUCUGCAUGUGCCCUUUUUCUUCUGUCCUCACGGUCCCUCCAAUCUAUUACUCCCUCAGUCCCAGCCAGGCAGCCGCCGACUGACGAGGCUCGGCGGUCUUCACACUAACGUGAUUGCUCAAAACACUGCUGCCCCUUCCUCACGGCUGUGUUGGUUCCUACUCACUAGGAACUGAGUUCAAUACUUUUAAGCCAAUUUUUUUUAUUUUAUUCUCUGCUGUAAUAGCCACAAACUUUAAAAAAAAAAAAGUUCAUAAGUACACAUCACAUUCUUCACUCUGCAAAGGUCAGAGACCUUACAGGAAUUAUGGAACUUCCGGGCGUAAUUCUGUGCCCCAGCAUUCCACGCUAUAAUUACCAGUUUCUUUAGCACACUUGGAUAACGCUGUGGCUUUCUCUCACAAAAGCUUUACAAUAUUGGCAAAGCUAAUCCUGGGCUUCCCCACAGCUCACUUAGCACUCAGCGCCCCAGAAGUGUCACAAUCCAUCUAUCUGCCUUCUGGUGCCCUGUGAAGAAAUACUGGCACCAAUUUUACUUCCCCAGAGGCUUGAAGGGGAGCUGAAGUAUAGAUGGUUGUAAACAGUCUAUGCCAUAUGUGAAGGAGUAGGAAGUAGACGGUUUGGUCUUCCAAUCUGUUGGUUUUGAAUAAAUUACUGUUCAGGGAAA